AAACACCCAAGAAUUAUCAAUAAAAAAAUAAAUUAAAAAAAAAAAUAAAUAAAUAAAUCCAGCAAAAAUAAAAAUAAAAAAUAAAAUCCCCUUGAAUACAUUUGAGGUAAUGUUGUAGUUUUCAGCUCCUCCCACGAGAGAUUUUAUGGAGUGCCUAACUGUGCUACCCGGGUGCUGCUCCUGUCGUUAGUGGUGGCACCCAGGAGGAAUUAAAAUUACAAGAGUGUUUCCUUCCAGAUGUUGUUGCUACAGGCUCAAGGUGCUCUUUUAACUGGGACAUCAGGCUUUCUUGAAAUAGACAAGAAUUCUAGAAACAUGACAUUGUGCCUGAUUCAUCGCUUCAACUUGCCACUGACUCAUUCUCUCCUUGAUAGGUUAUUCAACAGUAACUUUAAUUACAUCAUUUACUUAUUGUUUUCUUCCUUGAUUUAUUCUCUUUCUACAAUUCUUGUUUAUCAUCUCAGUGAUUGGACCAUCUCACCUCUGAGACUUGGGUAGAAUUCUGUGGACUCUGGAAAUAGACAUGGAGGUUUUCAUGUAUCUCUGUUAAUGUGUACAAACACCCCCAGGCUUGUACACUUGAAAUACAUCAGUAGGAAGGGUAGUUCUCAAUUUGCUAGUGUUUCACACAGCUUGUCUUAUUUAAUGAUCUCAGCUGCCCUAUGAAGUAGAUACCAUCCUAUUAAAAAAUGCAGGAGCAGAGGCUCUGAGAGGGGACUGUAACUUACCCAAGAUCAUGUGGUAGAUUGCAAAACUGGUUCCAAAUCCCUACCCUUCCCUGUACGCACACCUUUUGCCAUUCAUCUGCAAUGUCCUUUUCUGAUUCUGGGCUCAGCAAUAUAACUUGCUCUGGCCAACAGGAUAACAACAGCAAAUGUGAUGUAAGCAAAAGCUUGAGAAAUACUUGUGCAACUAAUCAUGUUUGCCUUCUCUCUUGUACCUGUGCCAUUGCCAUGAGAACAUGCCUGGGCUAGGAUUAGAGACACUUGGAGCAGAGCUGAGUCAUCCCAGCUGUCCCAGUUGAGGCCAGCCUAGGUCAGUCGAUGGCAACCAAGCCCUAAGCAUGUUAGUGAGCCCAGCCAUGAUCAGCACAACCACCUAGCCAACCAUCCCAGACCUGUGAUCAAUAAAGCCUUACUAUUCCAUACCACCUAGGUUUUGUGAUUAUUUAUUUCACAGAAUUAUUAUGGCAGUAUGUAACUGAUAGAAGCGGUGUACAGGGAAGAGUAUUUGUUAGUCCGUUUUCACACUGCUGAUAAAGACAUAUGCGAGACUGAGCAAUUUACAAAAGAAAGAGGUUUAAUGGACUUACAGUUCCACGUGGCUGGGGAAGCCUCACAAUUGUGGUGAAAGGUGAAAGUCACAUCUCACAUGGCAGCAGACAAGAGAAGAAGAGCUUGUGCAGGGAAACUCCCCUUUUAAAAACCAUCAGAUCUCAUGAUACUUAUUCACUAUCAUCAGAAUAGCCUGGGAAAGACCUGUCCCCAUGAUUCAGUUACUUCCCACCGUGUCACUCCCACAACAAGUGGGAAUUCAAGAUGAGAUUUGGGUAGGGACACAGCAAAACCAUAUUAGAGCAGAUCUCUGGAAUUGGGCAGGCCAAGGUUUGAAUCCCAUCUGUUAUUUGGAGUGUGUGUUUCUUUUUGAGACUAAUCUCCUUACCCUUGAAAUGAGGUAAUAUACUUCCCUCAUAGGGUUGCUGGGAAGAUUAAACACGAGGUGAAGUAAAUAAAGCCCCAGGGACAUAAGCAAAAAAUAAUGGCUUCUCACAGCAAUGCUCCAGAACAUACAACAAGGGAAUACUGGGCCCAGUCCCAGGACUAUCCAAGUGUGAAGCCAACACCUUUUCACAUCAACUCCAAGGGCACCAUCACAUACACUAUAAUAUGAAUCAUGACCCCCGGAGUUGUGUGGAGUUUCUGCAUCUCUCCCUCCCCACUGUGGCUACCCUCAUCCAGCAACCAUCCUGUCUCUCACCGGUAUUACCGCAGCUGAGACCCAGGUCUUAAGGAAGCUGAGACCCAGGCCAGCAGGGGCCUCACAGGUAGAAUGAAGCUUGGAAAAAGAGGAGGGUGUAAGACUCUGGAUGAAGCUGAGAGAUCCUUCCAUGCUUGGCUGAGAGACUACACAGACAUGAGCUUCAGGAGACUCCAAAGCCUCGGAUCCCCUUCUAAACUAGCACUGAAUUCUGAUUGGCUGUCUUUGCCUGCCUCAGUUUGUUCCUUUUACUGAUUGGCUAGGUUCUUCUGCCCAUGGCAGAGCCCUGCUCCAGCCACCGGAUCCUCCCACCUGCCACAGUGUCACCUGGGAUUGGCUGGGCUCUGAAAGGCCAGGCUGGCUUGACUCUUGCCAUCAUCAGAUUCUUCCUCAUUAAACAAAUGAAUCACAAUCCUAAUUAAUUUGAGCAACAGAAUUUAUGUAACUACUCCCAGCAGGAUGUCUGCUCUCAGUCAGCAGAGAGAUUACUUCCUCUCUCUGGGAAAUUCCAGCCUUGCUGGUCAAUAAGCCUUAAUGAUGACUGAAAUCUCCCAUCUGUCUCUGCUCAGGGCAGGUAACCCCUACUAAGCAGACACCCAGUUGGCUCGAGGCAGUACCCCGGGCACCGGCAGGACAAGGACAACGAUCUCCCAGCCUAGAUGUGUCCUGAGCCACAUGGAGCACACAGAUUACAGGAUCUGACUCCCAUUUGGGCCUUCCACCUCCGCUGGCCUAAGCAGUCAAGUGUCAGAGAGCACUGGACCUAACAGCUCCCUCACCAGAGCAGCUGUGAUUCCUUCUUCAUUUCCAGCAGGGAAGACCCAACAACUUUUAUAAUAUGGGAUUUCUUUUAUUCUCAUGAUAAUAAUGUUCAUUGUGGAAAAUAAAAAAAAAUGAUAAAAUAAAAAUCAGCCAGAAUUCCAACUUCUGGAGAUUUUGGUGUCUUUCUGCAAAGUUCCUAUGCACAUAGAUACUUUAUAAAAUUAUGAACAUACUGUACAUACAGUUUUGGAAUAUGCCUUUUUCCUUCUGUCAUGAAAAAGUCUUCAAAUGCCUUUUAACAGCUACACAAUAGUUCACUACAUGAACCAACUCAAAUGUAACUAUUUUUGGCCUUUUGUUAUAAAUAACACAAGAACCCUCAGUCUUUGUUACAUAAUGUCCUAACAGAGUAGGGGAAAUGCUCCCCAAUCCGGUGCAAUGUCCUGUGCCCAGGGAAACCAAUU
rnacentral:lncRNA from 1 species